CGCGCCUUCGACUAACUGGUAAGGUCACAUGCCUUUCACGCAUGUAAUAUGGGUUCGAGUCCCGUAGGCGUGA
rnacentral:tRNA from 1 species